UACGGAGGGUGCAAGCGUUAAUCGGAAUUACUGGGCGUAAAGCGUGCGCAGGCGGUUUGUUAAGUCCGCUGUGAAAUCCCCGAGCUCAACUUGGGAAUUGCAGUGGAUACUGGCAAGCUGGAGUAUGGUAGAGGAAGGUGGAAUUCCCGGUGUAGCAGUGAAAUGCGUAGAGAUCGGGAGGAACACCAGUGGCGAAGGCAGCGCUCUGGCCGAAGACCGACGCUGAGGCGCGAAAGCUGGGGGAGCGAACGGG
rnacentral:rRNA from 1 species